AUUGAACGCUGGCGGCAUGCCUUACACAUGCAAGUCGAACGGUAACAGGUUAAGCUGACGAGUGGCGAACGGGUGAGUAAUAUAUCGGAACGUGCCCAGUAGUGGGGGAUAGCCCGGCGAAAGCCGGAUUAAUACCGCAUACGACCUACGGGUGAAAGGGGGGGAGUCGCAAGACCUCUCGCUAUUGGAGCGGCCGAUAUCAGAUUAGCUAGUUGGUGGGGUAAAAGACUCACCAAGGCGACGAUCUGUAGCUGGUCUGAGAGGACGACCAGCCACACUGGGGACUGAGACACGGCCCAGACUCCUACGGGAGGCAGCAGUGGGGAAUUUUUGGACAAUGGACGCAAGUCUGAUCCAGCCA
rnacentral:rRNA from 1 species